CAGAAUCCCGCCUAGACGUAACGAUACCAUAGCGCCGCGGAUCUUCGGUUGGCCCCGGAUAGCCGGCUUCGGUCGGUGAGUAGAGCCGUUCGUGACAGGGCUGGGGUGCGGCCGGAUGAUGGUCGCCCCUCUCCUUUCUCGCACCGCAUGUUUGUGGAGAACCUGGUGCUAAAUCACUUGCAGACGACCUGAUUCUGGGUCAGGGUUUCGUACGUAGCAGAGCAGCUCCCUCGCUGCGAUCU
rnacentral:rRNA from 1 species